rnacentral:tRNA from 1 species
CGGAGUAUGGCGAAACUGGUAUACGCGUAAGUUUUAGACACUUAUAUAGCAAUAUGUGCGGGUCCGAGUCCCGCUACUCCGA